rnacentral:rRNA from 1 species
UUGAACUGAAGAGUUUGAUCCUGGCUCAGAUUGAACGCUGGCGGCAUGCCUUACACAUGCAAGUCGAACGGCAGCACGGGCUUCGGCCUGGUGGCGAGUGGCGAACGGGUGAGUAAUACAUCGGAACGUGCCCUGUAGUGGGGGAUAACUAGUCGAAAGAUUAGCUAAUACCGCAUACGACCUGAGGGUGAAAGCGGGGGACCG